GGACCCGUGCCCGAGACCAAAGGGACUACUUUGAUAGAGUAUGAAACAGGGGUUUAAAUCCCCUCGGCUCC
rnacentral:tRNA from 1 species